ensembl:lncRNA
CACACCUUGAGUACUGUGUUCAGUUUUUGACCCCUCACUGCAAGAAAGGCAUCGAGGCCCUGGAGUGUGUGCAGAGAAGGGCAACUAAGCCGCAACAAGGCCAUCACAGCAUCUAUGAAAGAGUGGAUCACCUCAAACAGUGCAGAUUUUUCAGAAGCAUGGCAUGCAGUCUGGUGCUCAUAACUGGUGAAAAUACAUAGCUAAUGAUGUUAAUAGGAAAGAAAACUCAGUCUCAAUCACACACUGAAGCGAUGAGCUUUUCUGAGUGGGAAGCUCUUCCCAUUGGCAUAGAGAGCUACAGAACAUCAAAGCUAUCUGUAAUCGCAACUCCACCUGGAAGCUGGAUCUGUUGAAAGAAAGAGAAAGAACAAUAUGGUGAAGCACUGAGAAGAAAUGAAGACAUUCAACCUGUAAAUAGCAGAGUCCUUUCUUUCUCAUUUGUCAGGAAGGGAAUAAUCAGCAUAAAUUACACUCCUGGACUUAGUAUUUAUUUCCUUUUUAUUUUUAUAUAAUUCACAUGCAAUGUGCAAUACAGAAAAGGAGGAAAUUAAAACAUGAGCACAUAUUGUAGCUUAAAUGUCUCCAGAAUAAACUUAGGUUUUGUUAACAAAAAACACCUUGGAAACAAAAUCAUCAUGUGAUACAUAAAUAAAUAGAGAAUUUGGGGAUUCAUUUAAAAAAAAAAAAUUUAAAAUUUUUAAAUUCUGCAGGACUAUUCUGAAAUGAACAGUUAAUGGAGAUGCAGCUAAUGACUCCUGUCAUCACCUCACUUGGAGCACAUGCUACAUAAAAUAUAUUGUGCUAACAAAACUAUGAUAAUUGUCAAAGAAAAAUUAUCAUCUUUUUCAGAAGAAGAUAAUAGUAUGAGGAACCAGUUAACAAAAUGCAUUCCAUUUUCAAAUACUGGAGACAGGAUGUGGCCUAGAAGACAAAUAGUAUCUUAAAGAAAUAACAGUGUUUUGCAAAUAAGACUGAUUUUUGAAGAACCUUGAAUACAGUGUCAAAUGAAAACAACAUAAUACAAUACUUUUAAUCUUUGCCAGCAUGGUAAAUUAUGAACCCCGCUGUCAUUGUUCCAAAGAUAAGGGGGAUACAUCAAAAAGAGUUUUACACUGAAUGGUAAGCAUGGUUUAACUUAAAACUUUAUGGCUUUCUGCAGCCUGUACACUGAACUUGUGGAAUAGAUCCAUUCACAUUACUAAAGGUAAACAGAAUGUACUUAAUUCUGGAACUGACAGGGAGUUGAAGCAUGCUGGGUAGUUUCUGGACUGGCCACUCACGGUUGGAUUAGGUGAGAGUUUGUAAUCAGAGUGUACCAGCAAAGUAUAAACAUUGCAGAGGUAGCAUCUGCCUCUAUUUUAGUGUUGACUCAUAUUCUCUUAAUGUUAAGCUUCAAUUCCAAUUGCUUACCUUAGCUGUGUAUUAGAUUUAUCUGGAAAUCAAGAGAAAAUAAAUGGCCAAUAGUUCAAACAAGAUGGCCAGAAAAAGAACCCAAAUCAUUAUUUCAUCAAAGGAACACAUUUUCGUGUAUCUGGAAUGGGGCCCAGUUGAAAGCAAACAGCAGCUGGGUAAUUCUGCCACAAAUAACUCACUAGCACCUGGGAUCUACCAAACAUUUGUAAAACUGAUAGUAAGAAGAGACAGUUAAAAGAGAAAGGUGAGCAGAAAAGAUAUGCUGGAACGGACACUGAAAUAAUUUGUGAGGAUAUUCCAACUUAAUACAAAUGACAGUGAAAGCAAUUUCUGAUUAGCUAAAUGAUCCAUGCUCUUUUUUCUGGGUUGUAGCUUCUAGACAUCUGCGUGGUGGAACUAAAUGCAUGGAUAGUUCUGCUAGUGGCCAGCAGUAGUAGAAGGCAAGUCACAGGUCAAAAACUUACACCUGAUUUCCAAAUGAAAGUCAAGAGCCAAAUUCAGGAAAGGAAAAGACAUGGCAGUUAUUCAGUUAUUAGGAACACAAGCCAGGAAUAAAGAGCUGGGCAGAGGAAAUAAACAAGAGAAAAAAUCAAAGUUAAAUGAUGUGAAAAAGAGACAAGCAUAGAAGUACCAAAAAAAAUAAAAAUAAAAAAAAUGGAAAGAAAAAAUGAGAAAACAGAAAAAAAAAAAAAAAGGGAAAGGAGAAGAAAAAGGAGAAACAAUAGAAGAGGAAAAAAAAAAAAGGAAAAGAGAAAAUGGAAAGAGAAAAAAAAGAAAAAUGUAAAUAUGAAAAAAAGGAAAGAAAAUCUUCAG